GCUGAUGAUCUGCCCCCAGCUGAUAUAGGGGGGAAGGCUGACCCCUACGUCGUUCUGAUCAUGAAGAAGGCUCAAAUCAAGAACAAAACCAGGGUUGUAAAUGAAAGUCUAAACCCUGUAUGGAAUCAAACUUUUGACUUUGUUGUUGAGGAUGGAUUACAUGAUAUGCUUAUGCUGGAAGUCUGGGACCAUGACACAUUCGGAAAGGAUUUCAUGGGAAGAUGCAUACUGACUUUAACAAGGGUUCUAAUGGAAGGUGAAUACAAAGACUCGUACGAAUUAGCUGAGGCUAAAUCAGGGAAACUGAACCUGCAUCUCAAAUGGAAUCCACAGCCAAUAUACAGAGACCACUAAUGAUGAACAUCAAACUUCAGGUUUACAUUCUUGUUAGUUUG
rnacentral:misc_RNA from 1 species